rnacentral:tRNA from 1 species
GCCUUCGUGGUGUAGUGGUUAGCAUGCUCGACGCGUAACCGAAAGGUCCGUGGUUCGAUUCCCGGCGAAGGCG